GGGAUAUGAUAGUAGACGGUUCUACAGUAUGAUUGCAGAUCUUAUUAUUGGGGUUCGAUUCCUCCGUAUCUCU
rnacentral:tRNA from 1 species